UACGUAGGUGGCGAGCGUUGUCCGGAAUUACUGGGCGUAAAGAGUGUGUAGGCGGUGCUCUAAGUUCGGUGUGAAAUCUCCUGGCUCAACUGGGAGGGUGCGCCGGAAACUGGAGUGCUUGAGCGUGGGAGAGGAAAGCGGAAUUCCUGGUGUAGCGGUGAAAUGCGUAGAUAUCAGGAGGAACACCUGUGGUGUAGACGGCUUUCUGGACCAUAGCUGACGCUGAGACACGAAAGCGUGGGUAGCAAACAGG
rnacentral:rRNA from 1 species